UUGGAUGUGAUGAUACUUUCCCCAAAUGAUCGACGCUGAUUAUACUAUGCUGGUGUUUUAAUCACAUUAUGUCUGAUCCAU
rnacentral:snoRNA from 2 species